AUUGAACGCUGGCGGCAUGCCUAACACAUGCAAGUCGAGCGGAUGAAGGGAGCUUGCUCCUGCAUUCAUCCGUGGACGGGUGAGUAAUGCCUAUGAAUCUGCCUUGUAUUCGCGGAUAACGUCCUGAUACGGGCGCUAAUAUCGCAUACGUCCUGAUGUCGAAUGUGGGUGGUCUUCCGAUGUCUCGCUUUCUGAGUAGCCUAAAUGGGAUUAGCUAGUUGGUGCGGUAACGGCCUACCAAGGCGACUAUCCGUAACUGGUCUGAGAGGAUGAUCAGACACACUGGCACUGAGACACGGCCCAGACUCCUACGGGAGGACGCAGUGGGGAAUAUUAGACGAUGGGGGAAUGCCUGAUCCAGCCAAGCCGCGUGUGUGAAGAAGGUCUUCGGAUUGGAAAGCACUGUAAGUUGGGAGGAAGGAAAGUAAGUUAAUACCGUACUGUUUUGACGUUACCAACAGAAUAAGCACCGGCUAACUUCGUG
rnacentral:rRNA from 1 species